UAGUCCACGCUGUAAACGAUGGAAGCUAGCCGUCAGGAUGUAUACAUCUUGGUGGCGCAGCUAACGCAUUAAGCUUCCCGCCUGGGGAGUACGGUCGCAAGAUUAAAACUCAAAGGAAUUGACGGGGGGCCCGCACAAGCGGUGGAGCAUGUGGUUUAAUUCGAUGCAACGCGAAGAACCUUACCUACCCUUGACAUUGACAGAAUCCUGUAGAGAUACGGGAGUGCCUUCGGGCCUGGAAAACAGGUGCUGCAUGGCUGUCGUCAGCUCGUGUCGUGAGAUGUUGGGUUAAGUCCCGCAACGAGCGCAACCCUCGUUCUUAGUUGCCAUCAUUAAGUUGGGCACUCUAGGGAGACUGCCGGUGACAAACCGGGNGGAAGGUGGGGAUGACGUCAAGUCAUCAUGCCCCUUAGUCCUGGGGCUACACACGUCCUACAAUGCUUCGGACAGAGGGCAGCAAGCUAGCGAUAGCAAGCUAAUCCCAUAAACCG
rnacentral:rRNA from 1 species